UACGUAGGGGGGCGAGCGUUGUCCGGAUUCAUUGGGCGUAAAGCGCUUUAAGGCGGUUCGCUAAGUCGCGUGUGAAAACUCCAGGCUCAACCUGGAGACGCCACGCGAUACUGGCGUGACUAGAGUUCGGUAGGGGAGUCACGGAAUUCCUGGUGUAGCGGUGAAAUGCGCAGAUAUCAGGAGGAACACCGGUGGCGAAGGCGGUGAUCU
rnacentral:rRNA from 1 species